rnacentral:rRNA from 1 species
AUUCCAGCUCCAAUAGCGUAUAUUAAAGUUGUUGCAGUUAAAAAGCUCGUAGUUGGAUCUGGGGUUCGGGUCGGCGGUUUGCCGCUUCGGCGGCUACUGCCGUGCUCGACUCUUACUAGCCGGUGCGUCUUGCGGUGCUCUUCAUCGAGUGCCGUAGGAGCCUGGCAUGUUUACUUUGAAAAAAUUAGAGUGCUCAAAGCAGGCGAUUCCGCCUGAAUAGUGUUGCAUGGAAUAAUGGAAUAGGACCUCGGUUCUAUUUUGUUGGUUUUCGGAACUUGAGGUAAUGAUUAAGAGGGACGGUCGGGGGCAUUCGUAUUUCGGUGUUAGAGGUGAAAUUCUUGGAUCGCUGAAAGACGGACAAAUGCGAAAGCAUCUGCCAAGAACGUCUCCAUUAAUCAAGAACGAAAGUCAGAGGUUCGAAGACGAUCAGACACCGUCCUAGUUCUGACCAUAAACGAUGCCAACUAGCGAUCCGCAGUGGUUGCUAUAAACGGACUCUGCGAGCAGCUUCCGGGAAACCAAAGUGUUUGGGUUCCGGGGGAAGUAUGGUUGCAAAGCUGAAACUUAAAGGAAUUGACGGAAGGGCACCACCAGGAGUGGAGCCUGCGGCUUAAUUUGACCCAACACGGGGAAACUCACCCGGUCCGGACACUGUAAGGAUUGACAGAUCGAGAGCUCUUUCUUGAUUCGGUGGAUGGUGGUGCAUGGCCGUUCUUAGUUGGUGGAGUGAUUUGUCUGGUUAAUUCCGAUAACGAACGAGACUCUAGCCUGCUAACUAGUUGCGCCGUGUUCAUACGCGGCUGUAGACUUCUUAGAGGGACAGGUGGCGUUUAGCCACACGAAAUUGAGCAAUAACAGGUCUGUGAUGCCCUUAGAUGUCCGGGGCCGCACGCGCGCUACACUGAAGGAGUCAGCGUCUGCUAUCCGGGCUCGGAAGAGUUCGGUAACCCGUUGAAACUCCUUCGUGCUUGGGAUUGUGGCUUGUAAUUAUCGCGCAUGAACGAGGAAUUCCCAGUAAGUGCAAGUCAUCAGCUUGCGCUGACUACGUCCCUGCCCUUUGUACACACCGCCCGUCGCUACUACCGAUUGAAUGGUUUAGCAAGGUACUCGGAUUGGUCUCGAUCUUGUACGAAAGUGCGGGAUCUGUGGCCGAGAAGAAGGCCAAACUUGAUCAUUUAGAGGAAGUAAA